GCUAAGAUUAAGCCAUGCAUGUCUAAGUAUAAGCAAUUAUACAGCGAAACUGCGAAUGGCUCAUUAUAUAAGUUAUCGUUUAUUUGAUAGUACCUUACUACUUGGAUAACCGUGGUAAUUCUAGAGCUAAUACAUGCUAAAAAUCCCGACUUCGGAAGGGAUGUAUUUAUUAGAUUAAAAACCAAUGCCCUUCGGGGCUCACUGGUGAUUCAUGAUAACUCCUCGAAUCGCAUGGCCUUGUGCCGGCGAUGGUUCAUUCAAAUUUCUUCCCUAUCAACUUUCGAUGUUUGGGUAUUGGCCAAACAUGGUUGCAACGGGUAACGGAGGGUUAGGGCUCGACCCCGGAGAAGGAGCCUGAGAAACGGCUACUACAUCCAAGGAAGGCAGCAGGCGCGCAAAUUACCCAAUCCCGACACGGGGAGGUAGUGACAAUAAAUACUGAUACAGGGCUCUUUUGGGUCUUGUAAUUGGAAUGAGUACAAUUUAAAUCCCUUAACGAGGAACAAUUGGAGGGCAAGUCUGGUGCCAGCAGCCGCGGUAAUUCCAGCUCCAAUAGCGUAUAUUAAAGUUGUUGUGGUUAAAAAGCUCGUAGUUGAACCUUGGGCCUGGCUGGCCGGUCCGCCUCACCGCGUGUACUGGUCCGGCCGGGCCUUUCCCUCUGUGGAACCCCAUGCCCUUCACUGGGUGUGGCGGGGAAACAGGACUUUUACUGUGAAAAAAUUAGAGUGCUCCAGGCAGGCCUAUGCUCGAAUACAUUAGCAUGGAAUAAUAGAAUAGGACGUGUGGUUCUAUUUUGUUGGUUUCUAGGACCGCCGUAAUGAUUAAUAGGGACAGUCGGGGGCAUCAGUAUUCAAUUGUCAGAGGUGAAAUUCUUGGAUUUAUUGAAGACUAACUACUGCGAAAGCAUUUGCCAAGGAUGUUUUCAUUAAUCAGGAACGAAAGUUAGGGGAUCGAAGACGAUCAGAUACCGUCGUAGUCUUAACCAUAAACUAUGCCGACUAGGGAUCGGACGGUGUUAUUUUUUGACCCGUUCGGCACCUUACGAGAAAUCAAAGUGCUUGGGCUCCAGGGGGAGUAUGGUCGCAAGGCU
rnacentral:rRNA from 1 species